CGCGGGAGGCGGCAGCGCCCGCCAUGACGGACGGACGGGAAGCUGUUCCCAGUCAUUCACAAAAUUCGAAGAAAUUUACGGUUAUCGCGGUGGUGACGCCGUCAGGCAUCUUGUGGGAUGGUGAAGGAAGACGGACUGGUGAUGGUAGGAUAUGCGUGACUUACAACGAGCUUCACUGCACCACCACGAACACACCACUGUAACAAGCACCAAGCAAGGGACGUCUGAGCAGUGAGAAGGAGCGAUCACCAGGAAAGGGUAAGCGCAUUAACAGCUCAUCCAGAAACAACACACCAACGAUCAGAUAUAUCUUUUUGAGAGCAUCGCAAAAAAAAAAAAAAUAUU